UACGUAGGGGGCAAGCGUUGUCCGGAUUUAUUGGGCAUAAAGAGCGUGUAGGCGGUUUGGUAGGUCCGUUGUGAAAACUCGAGGCUCAACCUCGAGACGCCGAUGGAAACCAUCAGACUAGAGUCCGGAAGAGGAGAGUGGAAUUCCUGGUGUAGCGGUGAAAUGCGCAGAUAUCAGGAAGAACACCCGUGGCUAAGGCGGCUCUCUAGUACGGUACUGACGCUGAGACGCGAAAGCGUGGGGAGCGAACAGG
rnacentral:rRNA from 1 species